rnacentral:rRNA from 1 species
GUCCUUUAGAAUUUAAUUUAAGGUCUAGCCUGCCCACUGAAAUUUAUUUUAAAUGGCCGCAGUAAUUUGACUGUGCAAAGGUAGCAUAAUCAUUAGUUUUUUAAUUGAAAGCUUGUAUGAAAGGUUGGACGAGGUAAAAUCUGUCUCUAAUUAAUUUAAUUUAGAAUUUAACUUUUAAGUCAAAAGGCUUAAAUAUAAUUAAAAGACGAGAAGACCCUAUAGAUCUUUAUAAUUUAUUUAUUAAAUUUAAUCAAGAAUUUUUUAAAUUUUAUUAAUUUAAUUAUUUUAUUGGGGUAAUAUAAAGAUUAAAUUAAUUCUUUUUUUUUAUUAACAUUAAUUUAUGAUUUUAUGAUCCAAUUUUAUUGGUUAUAAGAUUAAGUUACCUUAGGGAUAACAGCGUUAUUUUUUUAGAGAGUUCUUAUCGAUAAAAAAGUUUACGACCUCGAUGUUGGAUUAAAGAUUAUUUCAGGUGCAGAAGUUUGAAAAUUUUGGUCUGUUCGACCAUUAAAUCUUUACAUGAUCUGAGUUCAGACCGGUGUAAGCCAGGUCGGUUUCUAUCUUUAAUAAAUUAAAAUAUUUUAGUACGAAAGGACCAAUUAUUUAAUAUAAAAUAUUUAAAUUUUGAUUAUUAUUAA